AAGAAGAUAAAUUCUGGGUUUUCAUGUCAAACUUUGACUGUCCGUCUUAUAUAAAAUUUUUUUAUAAUUCGUAUUUUCAUUGUUGUUAGAUGAUAAAACAUGAUUAAUAUUUUAUGCGUGACUUGUCUUUUUAAUUUUUUUCAUAAUUUUUUUAAAUAAGACGGACGGUCAAACAUUGGGCACGGAAACCAGGGUUUGUCUUUUU
rfam:Oryza sativa Japonica Group DNA, chromosome 5, cultivar: Nipponbare, complete sequence.